rnacentral:lncRNA from 1 species
AUGAGCCAAGAGCCCUGCAUGGGGUACUGGUCACAGGAGAACAUACCCGUGCAGGGCCUGUGUGCCUGUCCCCAACACCUGUGUAGGGCCUGUAUACAGGCACAAAAACCCUGCAUGUGUGUCAGUGACGUGCACAUGGACCCUGCACACAGAUGUAUCAGUCACAGGCAUAGUCCCUUCAUUGAUGUCAGUGACAGGCACAUGGGCAUGGGCAUCAGUGACAGGCACAUGGACCCUGCUCACAGGGGUGUCAGCCACACACACACAGCCACUACAUGUGUGUGGCUGACAGGCACACACAACCUGCUCACAGCAGUCCUGGUGACAGGCAACAAUGGACUCUGCAUGGUUAAUGGUGACAGGCACACUGAGCAUCCUCACAGGGCUGUUGCCAACAGACACACGGACCCUAGAUGGGUGUUGGUGACAGGCACAAAGGCCCCCAGUGGGUGUCAGUGAUGAAGGACCUGCUACAGUUGUCAGUGACAGGCACACUGGCCCUGCUCACAGGGGUGUUAUUAACAGGUCCGCGGGCCAUACAGGGGUGUCAGUAAAAAGCAUAUGGACCCUGAUAGGCAAAAAGACAAUACAUGAGAGUUGUGGGCAGGCACAGAGGCCCUGCUCACAGGGGUGUGAGGGACAGGCACAUGGACCUUGCAUGGGUGUCAGAGACAGGCACAUGGACCUUGCACAGGUGCCAUGGACAGGCACAUGGAGCUUGCCUGGGUGUCAGGGACAGGCACAGGGACUUUGCACAGCUGUCAUGAACGGUCUCAUGCACUUGCAUGGGUGUCAGAGACAGGCACAUUGAGCCUGCGCAGCUGUCAGGGACAGGCACACAGACCUUGCACGGGUUUCACGGACAGGCACAUGGACCUUGCACGGGUGUCAGGGACAGGCACACAGACUCUGCUGACCCUAGUGUAAGGGACAGGCAUCCUGACCUUGCAUGGGUGUCAGGGACAGGCACAGGAACCUUGCACGGGUGUCAGGGACAGGGACCCUGCAUGGGUGUCAGGGACAGGCACAGGAACCUUGCAC